rnacentral:rRNA from 1 species
CGCAGCCGCGGUAAUUCCAGCUCCAAUAGCGUAUAUUAAAGUUGUUGCAGUUAAAAAGCUCGUAGUUGAAUUUCGGGAUCAAGGAAUCGGUCAUGCCUUGGUAUGUACUGGUUUUAUUGGUUCUCACCUUCUAAAGAACCAUGAUGUCAUUCAUUUGAUGUUAUGGGGAAUUAGGACUGUUACCUUGAAAAAAUUAGAGUGUUUAAAGCAAGCUUACGCUUGAAUACAUUAGCAUGGAAUAAUGAAAUAGGACAUCAGAUUCUAUUUUGUUGGUUUCUAGGAUCGAUGUAAUGAUUAAUAGGGAUAGUUGGGGGCAUUAGUAUUCAAUUGUCAGAGGUGAAAUUCUUGGAUUUAUUGAAGACUAACUACUGCGAAAGCAUUUGCCAAGGAUGUUCUCAUUAAUCAAGAACGAAAGUUAGGGGAUCGAAGACGAUCAGAUACCGUCGUAGUCUUAACCAUAAACUAUGCCGACUAGGGAUCG